rnacentral:rRNA from 1 species
CAGUCGCCGCGGGAAUACGAAGGGUGCAAGCGUUAAUCGGAAUUACUGGGCGUAAAGCGUACGCAGGCGGUUUGUUAAGUCAGAUGUGAAAUCCCCGAGCUUAACUCGGGAACUGCAUUUGAAACUGGCAGGCUAGAGUCUCGUAGAGGGGGGUAGAAUUCCAGGUGUAGCGGUGAAAUGCGUAGAGAUCUGGAGGAAUAACGGUGGCGAAGGCGGUCCCCUGGACGAAGACUGACGCUCAUGCACGAAAGCGUGGGGAGCAAACAGGAUUAGAUACCCGCGUAGUCCCUGUCUCUUAUAC